rnacentral:sRNA from 1 species
AGUGCGGUUGCAUACUUCCAGAAGAGCGGACCAGGGCUGCUGCCAGCACCUGCCACUCAGAGCGCCUCUGUCGCUGGGACCCUUCAGAACUCUCUUUGCUCACGAGUUACCAAAAAAAAAGAGCCAAGAUGUUGGUAUUGCUGGCUGGUAUCUUUGUGGUCCACAUCGCUACUGUUAUUAUGCUAUUUGUUAGCACCAUUGCCAAUGUGAGUAAUGUUCUUUUGUUCAUUCAUUCAUUGAGAAAUCAUUCGAAUAUUUACAUCAAGUGCACAAAAGAAGUUUAAGCCACAGCCCUUGCCCUUCAUGAACUUACAGCUCAGUUGUGGGAAAACAAAAUAAACACACGCUUGCUCUUCAAACAAUUAAAUAACAGGAGCAUAAAAGUGAAUGUCCACAGGAGUGUUCCUGCCAGAGCUGUAGGUGGUUAAGGGCUUGGAGGAUCUAGUGCAGCUUCUUCGGUCUCUAGAAGAGCCUUCCCAGCAGCAGGGGUGAGUGGAGCUUGAGGUGAACCUGGAGGAGUG